UUACACUCGCUGGCAGGCUGGGUGCCGGAUCCCUCGCCCGCCCAGGAAAGUGGGUUACGGAGGGAAGAGGCUCAGCUCAGAUGCUGGCAAAGGAGCAUCCAGCCACAGAGACCAGAGAACACCUUCCUUUUUGCUGCCUCGUCUCCAUCCUUUCUAGAGGGUUUUAUAUUUGCACUCUCUCUUUUAAAAUUUUGUUUCUUUGACUUUUCCCCACCUCUGCUCUGGUUUUAUGAGGGCUUUGUUAAGUCUUAGACGGGAAAGAGACUGAGUGAGGGAAAGAAAGAGGCAAAGUGGAAAGGACCACAAAUUGGCAAAGCCUGUUCUGCUUUUGCUGUGGAUGAAAGUCCUCUGUUUGUAAAGCCCUCUCGGCGUGAGCAGCACGCGCACCCUCCAGAGUAGCCGGACCCUGCACCGCACCUCGGCGUGGCCACCAUGGUCGCCAGAGUUCAGCCUGAUCGGAAACAGUUGCCGCUAGUCCUACUGAGAUUGCUCUGCCUUCUUCCCACAGGACUGCCUGUUCGCAGCGUGGAUUUUAACCGAGGCACCGACAACAUCACCGUGAGGCAGGGGGACACGGCCAUCCUCAGUUACAGGUCACUAAAACUGUAAGUAAAAAUGCCUCACUCAUUUUCAAGUGCUGGGACAGAACACAUGGACACUCACCAGGGAGGAUCUCUGCAUGGUUUGGAGAGCAAAUAGUCAGGUAGGUUGAGUCCCGGAAAAAUAGAGGCAUGUGCGUCUGGAAAAGCAGUGAAGGCUAGUCCAGGAUGGAUCUUGAGAAGAUGAGCUGAGAAAUAUGCUAGAGCUUGGUGUAGAGAGUGCUGGAGUAGGUAAGACAUAUAGAAUAACCAAAAUAUGAAUUCUUUGGACCCUUGUCCUCUCCAGCUUUAUGGCCCCAGCCUCAGCACAAUUUCUAACACACAGGAGUGCUCCUUUAGUGCUUGUUGAAUCAUUUAUUUCAAUAAUGUUGACUGAAGGCAAAUGGCUGAGAACUACUAUGGUUUUUACAGAAUAAAGUAAAAUUAUAAUCUGUGGAAAUAAAGCCCAUGUGAACUAUAACUCUGCUUCUUCGAAUUUAUGUAUGAUUUCUGUGCUUAAAAUUGUAAGAAUAUACAGUGAAGCCUUUGUGAAUGUCAUUGCUUUAAGGAAAGUGUUUGAAUUGGAAUCAACAGUUUAUUUUAAAAUCUACAAAAUAUACAGAAUACAUUUGCCCCAGCCCGGUUCUUUUCACCCCCAUCCCCCACUAGGCCACCUGUCUUCCUUCUCUGGCUGCUUCUCACCCCAUCCUCUGCCCAAAGCCUUGCUGACAUAUUUCAGAGUCUUUCAUUUGCAUUCUCUUCAAGGGCCUAUAUUAAUUUGACAUCAGCGGCAUUACAAUGCAGCAUGGAGAGUAAAGCACUGUUAAUAUUUAUUAUGAUGCUUUGAGUUUACAUUUACCUGAGGGAAGUUUCAAAUGCCUGCCUCAUGCCCGUCUGCAGUAAUCAUCUAUACCGAGGGCACGUCAGCUCUCUCUCCAACAUAGAGGAGGAGACCAAGACAAUCUGGGUAGCUCUUCCCACCACAGUUCCAAAGACAACAAUCUCCUAACCGGAUCAUUUUGUUAAUGCAUGUUAAAAAGCACCAAGGGGAGUUCCUGUUGAGGCUCAAUGGUUAACGAACCUGACUAGCAUCCACGAGGGUGCGUGUUCGAUCCCUGGCCUUGCUCAGUGGGUUGGGGAUCUGGCGUUGCCAUGAGCUGUGGUAUAGGUUGCAAACUCGGCUUGGAUUCAUUGUUGCUAUGGCUGUGACAUAGGCCAGCAGCUACAGCUCUGAAUGGACCGCUAGCCUGGGAACCUCCAUGUGCCAUGCAUGUGGCCCUGAAAAGACCAAAAAAGAAAAAAAAAAAAAAAA
rnacentral:lncRNA from 1 species